GACGAACGCUGGCGGCGUGCUUAACACAUGCAAGUCGAGCGGAAAGGCCCUUUCGGGGGUACUCGAGCGGCGAACGGGUGAGUAACACGUGAGUAAUCUGCCCCUGGCUUUGGGAUAGCCACCGGAAACGGUGAUUAAUACCGGAUACGACCACUUCUCGCAUGGGAUGGUGGUGGAAAGUUUUUCGGCCAGGGAUGUGCUCGCGGCCUAUCAGCUUGAUGGUGAGGUAAUGGCUCACCAUGGCUUCGACGGGUAGCCGGCCUGAGAGGGUGACCGGUCACACUGGGACUGAGACACGGCCCAGACUCCUACGGGGGGCAGCAGUGGGGAAUAUUGGACAAUGGGCGGAAGCCUGGUCCAGCAACGCCGCGUGAGGGAUGACGGCCUUCGGGUUGUAAACCUCUUUCAGCAGGGACGAAGCGCAAGUGACGGUACCUGCAGAAGAAGCACCGGCCAACUACGUGCCAGCCGCCGCAGUAA
rnacentral:rRNA from 1 species